CAGUCGCCACGGUAAUACGUAGGUGGCAAGCGUUGUCCGGAAUUAUUGGGCGUAAAGGGCUCGCAGGCGGUUUCUUAAGUCUGAUGUGAAAGCCCCCGGCUCAACCGGGGAGGGUCAUUGGAAACUGGGAAACUUGAGUGCAGAAGAGGAGAGUGGAAUUCCACGUGUAGCGGUGAAAUGCGUAGAGAUGUGGAGGAACACCAGUGGCGAAGGCGACUCUCUGGUCUGUAACUGACGCUGAGGAGCGAAAGCGUGGGGAGCGAACAGGAUUAGAUACCCCGGUAGUCCCUGUCUCUUAUAU
rnacentral:rRNA from 1 species